rnacentral:rRNA from 1 species
GUGCCAGCAGCCGCGGUAAUACGUAGGGUGCGAGCGUUAAUCGGAAUUACUGGGCGUAAAGCGUGCGCAGGCGGUUCGUUAAGUCAGAUGUGAAAGCCCCGGGCUUAACCUGGGAAUGGCAUUUGAGACUGGCGAGCUGGAGUCUGGCAGAGGGGGGUGGAAUUCCACGUGUAGCAGUGAAAUGCGUAGAGAUGUGGAGGAACACCGAUGGCGAAGGCAGCCCCCUGGGCUGAGACUGACGCUCAGGCACGAAAGCGUGGGGAGCAAACAGGAUUAGAUACCCCCGUAGUCC